rnacentral:misc_RNA from 1 species
GAUGAAGAACGUAGCGAAAUGCGAUAAGUAAUGUGAAUUGCAGAAUUCAGUGAAUCAUCGAAUCUUUGAACGCACAUUGCGCCCCCUGGUAUUCCGGGGGGCAUGCCUGUUCGAGCGUCAUUUCACCACUCAAGCCUCGCUUGGUAUUGGGCAGCGCGGUCCGCCGCGUGCCUCAAAUCGACCGGCUGGGUCUUCUGUCCCCUAAGCGUUGUGGAAACUAUUCGCUAAAGGGUGUUCGGGAGGCUACGCCGUAAAACAACCCCAUUUCUAAGGUUGACCUCGGAUCAGGUAGGGAUACCCGCUGAACUUAAGCAUAUCAAUAAGCGGAGGA